rnacentral:rRNA from 1 species
UCGUGAGAUGUUGGGUUAAGUCCCGCAAACGAGCGCAACUAUCGCCCUUAGUUGCCWUCAUAUAAGUUGGGCACUCUAAGGAGGACUGMCYGGUGAUAAGCCGCGAGGAAGGUGAAGAUGACGUCAAGUCCCCAUGGCCCUUACGBGCUGGGSUACACACGUGCUACAAUGGUGGUGWCAGUGGGCAGCGAGACCNMGAGGUCGAGCUAAUCUCCAAAAGCCAUCUCAGUUCGGAUUGCAGCUCUGCAACUYGAGUGCAUGAAGUUGGAAUCGCUAGUAAUCGCAGAUCAGCAUGCUGCGGUGAAUAMGUUCCCGGGCCUUGUACACACCGCCCGUCAGCAGCCAWUGGGAGRUUGGUUUUACCCGAAGGCAACUGCGCUAAMCCGCAAGGABGGCAAGGUGAACCAKCGGUAUGGGUCARGCGAUCUGGGGUUWAURUGU